rnacentral:lncRNA from 1 species
AAAAAGAAGAAAUCAAGAAAUACAUGUCAAAGUGCCGAUCGGAGUCUGCAGCCUCGCCGGAAGGGAUUUCGGAGUCGACAGUCGAUGAAGUACUCUCUCUCGCAGUCUCUCUCUCUCUCUCGUUCGCUACUCACAGUCGCUCGUUGAUUCUUUCUUCUCACUGUCACUCGUCGACUACUCUUCUACUGCAAAGCAAAGUUCGAUCUUCUCUGCGAAGAAGCAAAUCAAUUCGAUAGGGCAAGUUACCCAAUUCCAAGCGACGUCAUUUUUCCAUCUUUUUUUAACCUAGUGGGUUGAUCCAUACCCGAAGUAGACAAGUCGGUCGAUCUGUUGUCAAGUCGUCGAAGUAGACGUCAAGUCGUCCAAGGUGACGACUUCUUUUGGUAGGCGCUCGACUUUCGACCCAAACCCAAGUCGCUCGGUCGCCUUGCCUUCCCCAUACCGACUGGACACCUUAACGUCGUCUAACAACUAUGUAAGACAUGACUGUGUGGAUGAGCGCUCGUAAGUAAUAAAGUAAUAUAGUCAUUGUCUUUGUUGAAACUAAAGUAAUUUGGUGGAUUCCGGUUACAAAAGUCCUAGGCAGGGAUUGUUAUGGAGUAAUUCCAAGAAACGUUAUCAAGUUGUCGCCUAGUCGUCAACUAGGAGUCUGAGCGGUAGCAAGCAGU